CCUCUGGUGGCUCAGAGGGUAAAGCGUCUGCCUACAGUGCAGGAGACCCGGGUUCGAUCCCUGGAUUGGGAA
rnacentral:tRNA from 1 species